AGAGUUUGAUCCUGGCUCAGGAUGAACGCUGGCGGCGUGCCUAAUACAUGCAAGUCGAGCGAACGGACGAGAAGCUUGCUUCUCUGAUGUUAGCGGCGGACGGGUGAGUAACACGUGGAUAACCUACCUAUAAGACUGGGAUAACUUCGGGAAACCGUAGCUAAUACCGGAUAAUAUUUUGAACCGCAUGGUUCAAAAGUGAAAGACGGUCUUGCUGUCACUUAUAGAUGGAUCCGCGCUGCAUUAGCUAGUUGGUAAGGUAACGGCUUACCAAGGCAACGAUGCAUAGCCGACCUGAGAGGGUGAUCGGCCACACUGGAACUGAGACACGGUCCAGACUCCUACGGGAGGCAGCAGUAGGGAAUCUUCCGCAAUGGGCGAAAGCCUGACGGAGCAACGCCGCGUGAGUGAUGAAGGUCUUCGGAUCGUAAAACUCUGUUAUUAGGGAAGAACAUAUGUGUAAGUAACUGUGCACAUCUUGACGGUACCUAAUCAGAAAGCCACGGCUAACUACGUGCCAGCAGCCGCGGUAAUACGUAGGUGGCAAGCGUUAUCCGGAAUUAUUGGGCGUAAAGCGCGCGUAGGCGGUUUUUUAAGUCUGAUGUGAAAGCCCACGGCUCAACCGUGGAGGGUCAUUGGAAACUGGAAAACUUGAGUGCAGAAGAGGAAAGUGGAAUUCCAUGUGUAGCGGUGAAAUGCGCAGAGAUAUGGAGGAACACCAGUGGCGAAGGCGACUUUCUGGUCUGUAACUGACGCUGAUGUGCGAAAGCGUGGGGAUCAAACAGGAUUAGAUACCCUGGUAGUCCACGCCGUAAACGAUGAGUGCUAAGUGUUAGGGGGUUUCCGCCCCUUAGUGCUGCAGCUAACGCAUUAAGCACUC
rnacentral:rRNA from 1 species